rnacentral:rRNA from 1 species
UGCUCGAGUGGCGAACGGGUGAGUAACACGUGGGUGAUCUGCCCUGCACUUCGGGAUAAGCUUGGGAAACUGGGUCUAAUACCGGAUAGGACCAUCGUUUAGUGUCGGUGGUGGAAAGUUUUUUCUGUGUGGGAUGAGCUCGCGGCCUAUCAGCUUGUUGGUGGGGUAAUGGCCUACCAAGGCGUCGACGGGUAGCCGGCCUGAGAAGGUGUACGGCCACAUUGGGACUGAGAUACGGCCCAG